rnacentral:piRNA from 1 species
UGAUGUGUCAGAUGAACAGCCUCAGGGUC